AAUAACUGCUGCUGUGAAGAGAACAACUCUCACACUGAAUGUUGAACAGCAGCUAGUUUCUCCUGUUCAUUUAAACCUUGUUGCAGAGAUGGAACAUCGGCUGUGGAUUAUUCUUGCUGCUCUGUUCUGUGAGUGUAAAGGAGCAGACAGAGUGAUCCAGCCAACAGGAGAUGUCACUGCUGCUGAAGGAGACACAGUUACACUGGACUGCACAUUUGAGACCAGUGACACAUUUCCCUAUUUGUUCUGGUACAAACAAGAAGUAAACGACUUCCCAAAGUACAUUCUGAAAUGUUCCUCACUAACAGUAGAACAUGCUGCUGACUUUAAGAAAGACAGAUUUAAUGCUACAAUCAUCAACAAGUCAGUUCCUCUGAAGAUCCAGAAGCUUCAGCUGUCUGACUCUGCUGUGUACUACUGUGCUCUGCGGCCCACAGUGACAGGAAACAUCAAAACUCUGUACAAAAACCUUUGGAGCAAAGACAACACAAUACUCCACAACAUCCACUAGAGGGAGUCACACACUGUUAAACUGCAGCUGGAUGGUCUAUGACAUUUACCAUCUGUGGACUCAAAAACUCACAAACACAAAAGAGUUGAACUGAUGAAUUCUCUGUGUGAGAUCAUUGCGCUACACGACAGUUUGACCCAGAAGACAAAUAGGAGGAUAAAAUGAUCACUGAUUACUUUAAGUGACAAAUGAUGUGUUUCUCUGUAUGUUAGCUGUGUUCAUCAGUAACACAUAAUUGUUGAUCUAAUAUUUAAUAUAUUCAUUUCCAACAGGAACAAAAACAUUCAUCAGUGGGUGGAAGAACUCCUUUUAAAAUAAGAGACAUUGUGUGUUAUUUAAGUCUGAGCAGAAACUAGAGCUGACCAAAAGUCAGUAUUCAGACACUCAGUCUGUUUUUUCAGUUCAAUUCAAUUCAAACAACUUUAUUAAUCCCCGCAGGGCAAUUCAGUUUGCAGCCUCAGUGAGCAAGGUAACGUCGCCCUGAGGGCAUCAAACAGAAUUCCUGACCCAGGAUGUGGUCUGGAUGACUAAAGAUCUUUCUGGUUUUCUGGGUAACUCGUUUGUUCCAGAUGGAGCUUAAGUCUGUAAACUGAAUUCCAAUGAUCUUGGAACAGACUUUGAUAAUGCUGCUAACACAGUUCUUCUCCUUCACAGAUAGACCAUAAAACCAACAAGUAAAAG